rnacentral:rRNA from 1 species
GAUGAACGCUGGCGGCGUGCCUAAUACAUGCAAGUCGAGCGAACAGACGAGGAGCUUGCUCCUCUGACGUUAGCGGCGGACGGGUGAGUAACACGUGGAUAACCUACCUAUAAGACUGGGAUAACUUCGUGAAACCGGAGCUAAUACCGGAUAAUAUAUUGAACCGCAUGGUUCAAUAGUGAAAGACGGUUUUGCUGUCACUUAUAGAUGGAUCCGCGCCGCAUUAGCUAGUUGGUAAGGUAACGGCUUACCAAGGCAACGAUGCGUAGCCGACCUGAGAGGGUGAUCGGCCACACUGGAACUGAGACACGGUCCAGACUCCUACGGGAGGCAGCAGUAGGGAAUCUUCCGCAAUGGGCGAAAGCCUGACGGAGCAACGCCGCGUGAGUGAUGAAGGGCUUCGGAUCGUAAAACUCUGUUAUUAGGGAAGAACAAAUGUGUAAGUAACUAUGCACGUCUUGACGGUACCUAAUCAGAAAGCCACGGCUAACUACGUG